rnacentral:rRNA from 1 species
UACAGAGGUCUCAAGCGUUGUUCGGAUUCAUUGGGCGUAAAGGGUGUGUAGGUGGCGCGCUAAGUCGGGGUGUGAAAUUUCGGAGCUUAACUCCGAAACUGCAUUCGAUACUGGCGUGCUUGAGGACUGGAGAGGAGACUGGAAUUCAUGGUGUAGCAGUGAAAUGCGUAGAGAUCGUAAGGAAGACCAGUGGCGAAGGCGGGUCUCUGGACAGUUCCUGACACUGAGGCACGAAGGCCAGGGGAGCAAACGGGG